rnacentral:ncRNA from 1 species
CCCCGUACACUGUACGGGGCUUCUAAUCCGUUUAUGCAACAAGGGGUCUGCUCGUG